UACGGCGGGUGCAAGCGUUAUCCGGAUUUACUGGGUUUAAAGGGUGCGUAGGUGGGUUGGUAAGUCAGUGGUGAAAUACUUUCGCUUAACGAAGGAACUGCCAUUGAUACUAUCAAUCUUGAAUGUAGUGGAGGUAGGCGGAAUGCGUCAUGUAGCGGUGAAAUGCUUAGAUAUGACGCAGAACACCAAUUGCGAAGGCAGCUUGCUACACUACUAUUGACACUGAGGCACGAAAGCGUGGGGAUCAAACAGG
rnacentral:rRNA from 1 species